UUUGCCCCAUUCAUACCCCAAACAUCAUCAUCAAUAACAACAAAAUCCCCAAAAAAGACAAAAAACAAGGUUUCUCUGUGCAUUCUUGACUAUCCUAGGAUUCACUCUGUAGAUCAGGUUAGCCUAAACUCAGAGUCACCCGCCUCUGCCUCCCAAGUGCUGGGACUAAAGUGAAGCAUGACCAACCCGCCCUACAUUAGUGUUUUUUUUUUUUUUUUUUGGUUCAUUUUUCGGAGCUGGGGAGCAAACCCAGGGUCUUGCGCUUCCUAGGCAAGCGCUCUACCACUGAGCUAAGUCCCCAACCCACAUUAGUGUUUUUACAACCCAACCUACGACUCAAAGGAUUAUCUACUCUCAGGAAGUCACUCACUAAUCAGCAGCAAAUACCAUGCACCCAGCUGUCUCGCUGCCUUCGAAGGUAAGCAAGAAGCUCUCCCUGUGGCCUGGACUUCCUCUAUGGUCCAUACUCCCCUGUGUUGUUCUAAACAGGGAUUUCUGUUGUUUUUGUUUUUAAACAUGAUACUCAUUUGAAAGUUUGCCACAGCCUUCUUUGUCUUUUUCCCCUACUACUCCUCUAGCUUAGCAUUUGCUUGUCUCUUCUGUUUCCUAUGACCCGGCUGCUUUUAGUAUAGAAAUUCUCUGAGCAGCUAAUCAUAGAAACAUUGAAGAGGCGAAUCUCUCUAGUCCUGUAGGGUAGGUGUCAAGGGAAACAUCCUAAGACACUGAAUGGCCUCAAAGGGUCCCGAGAUGAUAUAUUUCCCUCCUAAAUUGUGAAAAACUUCAUGUGUGUCAGGAAGACACACUUACAGGCAGUCUGAGUAUUGGGCUGUCUCAUGAUAUCCCCAAAAGUGUGAGAAAAAGCUUUCACUACAGCAUGGGAAGAUCCAAAUAUCCCAGGGUGAAGGCAAGGAAACUACUACAGCAGCGCAGAGAUCCAACCCAACACAUCCCAUCUGCUCACAUAAAAGGCCACAAUUUUCAAGAAAGAGGGAAAAAAAGACUAAAAUGGGAACCAAAACUCCAGGAGAGGAAGCAUUUGCUGGGGGAAGCUAAUUAGUGGCUGCUUUUAUAUUUUAAAGUUAAUCAUUUUACCUGGAAAUUUGCAAGCAUUUAGGGAAAUGGGGAAUAGCUGAUAUCCCCGUAUGUUUUAUUCACUUACUUUUUCACAUAUUACAAGUUUCAACUGUAGACAAUCGGAAAAUGAAAAACAGCCAGUCUAACAGGACUUUAAAAGCUACCUAAGAAAUACAUUACAAAUUUAAAUGCAAUUCAUGCUGUUAGCCAAAUUUCAAACUUGAGGAGGAAAGUGUAGGGCCCUACUUUGGGGUGUUUCCCCUCCCUUGCUGAGCCUUUUAGCCUGCUAUAGCGAGAAGUUGUUUACACGCUUGGCAGCUGCUCUAGGCCCUGAUUUGAGCCCAGGACUUUCCCUGGCAACCUUCUCCCUCGCUAUUAAGAAAUUGUUUAUGCCCCUGAUUGGGUCAGGGACUUUCCAGGACACAGACUUUUCCUGUUCUCCUGCUUGGGGAUUUUCACCUGCCUUGUUGUUUUCCACAGCUUUUGCCUCGGGUAUAUAAGGAGAUCAGAGCUAAGCCUUGGUGGCACUCUCUGGAAACGGAUGACCCGUGUAUGUGUUUCUUUCAAUCCUGCAGACCUAUGCUGGAUAUUCACACACUGGCAUGAAUAUCAUUUGGAGGUCCCACGGAGAUCAGGGAAAGAGAGGAUAACCUGAUGGGAUUGUUCCAAAAGGCCAGCUGGCAAGGAAGCGGAACAUAUUGGGGACCACGGGACAAAACUGAAAGAACCUCCAGGAAAAGAAAAAUUCUCAAAGACAGUGCUAUAUCAACAUUGGGGGAGCUUAUGAGGAGGUGAAACUUGAUGCCACCUCUAUUCCCCGAACAAAACCCACUGGAAACUUCCUCAGUCGCAUGUGGACCCUUGAUCUGUGAAAGAACUGUAGGGUUCUCUGGUUUUAUUUGUUAGAACUGUCCAUCUGCAUUUCCCUCUCUAUUCAUUAGCCCCUGAAUCAAGCCAAAUAUUAGCCCAAGUACAUCACCUUCUGACCUCUGGCUCGCACUACACGGUGUUUAGGUUGUGAUUUUAUUACCUUAUUCUGACUCAGAAGCACACCAAAUUAGUAAGAUUUAGUUUCCUGAAAAUUUACUCUAACACUGUUGAUUUCAUGUAAUUCCAUUUAUCUACUGGUGCAAUUGUUAGUCUGUGCCAGUGAUGUGCGGUGUGUGUGUGUGUGUGUGUGUGUGUGUGUGUGUGUGUGUGUGUGUGUGUACAUACAUGUGAAUACGAUACAGCUUUGUCUCAGUCUACCUGGCCUUGUUUUCUUUUUCCUCACCCUAUUCUACCUCUUCUAAGAAACUGGUUGAUCAAUACCAUCCUAACUGAAGUACAGGCUUGCAAGCCGAUUACCAAACUAACGAGGGACUAAAGAAAGAAAUGCGGAAGACAGACUUAAUAUACACAGCAAUAAGGCUUAUUUAAGACAGAAACAAAGGCUUGGUUUGGCAGAAGAAUUCAUAAUAAAUGGGUGACCUUGAUUUCACUUUUGUUAGAAUGUGGGCCUGCCCCUAACACACAGCAGUGCUUUGCAGAGGGCCGGCUCCCAAGCCUGAGACCAGGCCCCACUCCUUGCAGCAGCAAUCCCCACUUCUGGUCCUAACCAGCCCAGCUCCUCCGGGCUAUGCUUCAGAGACACCCACCUCUGCAUCUUGGGUUUCUCUUCUGUCCCCUCCUCCCCCACCCCCCUCACUCUGUCAAGUUCCUCUUAGUGUUUUAAAGGGAAGCUCUCUUUCCCUUAAGGCUCCAACAUAGUCCGAUCACCAUUGCACUGUUUCUGUCAUGGUCCCCUUCUCUUGAAACACUGUGGCUUUGGAGUCCAUUACUGCCGCCCUUCCUUAGGUAUAUUUAACAACCUGUUUUAGACCCAGGUUUAGACUUAAAAACUGGUAACACCUUGUCUCUCUCCCUCCUUCUCUCCGAGUAAGUGUAAAUUUGUGUGUAAUACCCUGAGAGGUCAGAGGUAAGGUUAAAGCCCCUGGAUCUAGAGUUAAAGGCAGCUGUGACCUGCCUGGCUUGGAUGCUGGGUAUCGACUCCAGUCUCCACAGGAACAAUACGUGCUGCUCUUAACUGCUGAGCCGUCUCUGUAGCACAAAUAAACAGUCACUGUCCCUAGCUGGCCUAGAUCAAGAGAUCUACCUGCCUCUGCCUCCAAAAUACCAGGAUUAAAUUAAAGGCAGACAACAGUUUAUGUCAGCACUGAGGACGCUUACGAGCUCAGUAAAGUGUCCUGGGUGCAUCCUUCAGUUUUAUUCUUCACAAACCUACUUGUAACACGCUUUACCCUUAAGUUCCAUUCUUGUCUAUUUUCAACGUGGACCAACUCUUGUGUUUGCAGCCCCGCUCUGUACUCAAUGCUCCACUGAACUCCAUGACGAGGUGGUUUUUAAGCUACAUUCCUACAGCUAAUAAUGUCUUAAAAUGUUUCCCCCUUGAAACCUUCUUUUGGGUUGUUGCAAACUGAAAGAAAGCUGCUGCCUUAGAGGAAGAAAAUCCUACUGGAAAUAAUUACUCCUACUUAGUGUAUUCCUGCUAAUCUCAUAGUAGCCACAGAAUAAUUUUACUGGACAAAUAUUUAAAUUAUUUGCAAAAUUUGGUCUAAUUACAUAGGAUUUUCCUUGUUCCUAUGAUCUUUAAAUCUCUUGAUUAGUGGCUAAAUGAAAGAAUAGCUCAGUAUGAGAUCAAUUUUCAAAACUAACUGGGGCUUUAAGCCUAAUUCUUCCAUUAAUUUUUCUAAGUGUAAAGCUACAUAAAAUUAACAGGUUCCAGGUACGGUGGUCCCUGUGAGUUUGAGGCCAGCCUGUUCUGUACAGUGCACUACAGGCUAAUCAAGGUUACAUAAAAUUAAAAUAAAAUUUAAUGGCCAUUCUAUCAAGCUGGACAUAAAUGGGAUACCAUAUGCUAUUAUAAGUACUUAGUCUUUCUAUGGGAAUUCCUGGGAGACAAAAAUCUAAGACAGCCUGAACCAGCUGAUGUCAUCAAUUAGAAAAACAUCACACUAAAGAGUCCCCAGGCCCCAGCUUCUCUGACGAGGAUGACAUCGGGUACUCCCACCCACUUUUUAUGUAAUAAAACUUUAGGUUUGGGCUGGCAAGAUGGCUCAGUGGUGGGGGUGUUUAUAGCCAAGCCUUACGUUUGAUCCCUAGAACCCACAUGGUUGAUAACUAAUUCAUGCAUUUUUUUCCCUUGGGUUUCUACACACACAUGAGCAAACGCACGUGCAGGGAUAAAUUUGUACAUUCCCAUGCCUCACCUCAAAUAUGUGCUAACUCCCUGUGUGGACACCUUCAGUGACUGUCAAAACUGAGUUACACUGUCUUAACUAUACCACAAAGCCCCACACCUUCUGGACUGCAUUUCUACUCUAAUUCCUUUAUGAUUACUUAUAUGUAAUCUUUUACCAACAGGAAUAGAGCUGGUCUUGACUUCAAGGGAAUACAGGAGGCUGUCCUUGUCACCAUGCUUUGGAACAGCUGGUAGGGAAGACCUCCUUUUACCUUAGCCAAAUGCUCACAACUCCAAGUUCUCUCCACUCUCAAAAGAAUUCUCUUACUAUUCAACAUAACCUGGAUUUUGAAAAAAAAAAAAAAAUCCAACUUCAAGAUCAAGCCAGUUAAGUUCCAGCAUGGAGGAGGGGUGUGAGGCUCCACCCUGAGCUGAAGCUACUGAUGGCUGGUACUGGUAGGUUCUCCAGAGCCCUGUGAUGAACCCACAUACAUAGGGGUAGCACUGAAUGGACUUGGUAGGGUAAAAAUACUCAUUUUAAUGGAAGAUGUGAAGUCAGGAGUGAGAUAUGUUAGAGAAUGUGGAAGGAGCUGGAGGGUAAUCAAGAUAUAAGAUAAUGAAUGAAACUUGUAAGGAAUUAAAAAGUCAGGCAUGUAAGUCUUCUAAGAAGAACUCUAUUUGAGAAAACGUCUCUACUCUAGAGACCAUGGCUUUAAAAAAAAAAAACAAAAAACCUUGCUAUGUUAAAAAACAAAACAAAACAAAACAAAAAGGUAUUCAUAGAGUCUAACCAAGUGACUACACGUUGUCCUGAUAUUAGAAAUGUUGCAUGUGGUGGUCAAUCUGUUCCAGCUAAAAUAUAACCUGUUCUGAAGACCACUGUGAAUGAAUGGUCUUGUAGAUCUGACUACAUACCCUGUGCUAUGACCAGAAGCACAUCCCUUAACUACAUAAACUCUGUCAGGAGCAAGCAGAGGCUCUCAGGCUUCCAGCGGAUGGCUACACUACAGACAACGUGUGUGUAGCUCUGGGAAGCCUUAGGCAUGCUCAGACUUCUGCCUUCAGUUCCCUGGAACUGUCACCCUGUCACCUUGUGAGGAAUACCCAAUGCUUUGAGUUGGCUUUGCAUCCCAAGUAUACAAAAACACUGUGUCUCCAAGGGCAAUGGCAUUCACGGUAAAUUUUUCAGAACUGUCCCAGUGCUACACCAAGAGAUGUUUCUGGGGGUGCUGGUCCAGGAAUUUACUAAACACAAUAACACCGUACCAAAGAAAAGGCUGCAUAUUCAAAAAUAGGAGGCACAGAAAACUAUUUGAAAUAAGAAAUUUACAACCUUAGAAACCAUAUUAUUUCUUUUAAAGCACUUUCUUGAUUAAAUGAAUCCUCAUGAUAUCUAACAGGUCAGGUCUAGAUAAUUCAGAAAAAUACAAAAUGCGUAUUUUGCCAAUAAAAUGUAAAGGCAACAUUAAAAAACAAGUCCUACUGGAAUUCCUCUUUCUGACUGCAAAAUAAAGUUGGCUUGGCAGGUAAAGACGACCAAAGCCUGAGGUCUAUCUUUGGAACACACUUGGAAGGAGAAAAAUGACUGCCUGGUCCUCUAACCUGUAGGCAGACAGGCAAGGACACUGCCUGGAGCAUGCAGAUUCAUACACAUGGGAGCAAGUAAACAAAUGAAAAACCAACAAGACUUGUCCCUGUCCCCAAAAUUUACACCAAGUCUGGCAUAUUUUCCCUGCCUUAGUCACUAAUGAUAUCUGGAUGAAUCUGAUUUAUUCUGAAGUUAACUAAACAUUUAUUUCUCCAAUGUGGAAUCUGGUGUGGUCCUAAAACAGUAAGACAUCUCAGAUUAUUAACCAAAAAUAAGUUACAAUUUGGACAAUAGAUACUAAUUUCUUAAAAUCAGCCAUUCCAUUCGAGGUAAUAGUUAUGGAAACACACUGGCCAGAAGGAAAACUAGAACUAAAAAAUUAUUUCAAGGCCAGGCGGUGAUGGUGGUCCAAGCCUUCAAUCUCAGCACACGGGAGGCAGAGGCAGGCAGCAUCUCCUUGUUAAAGCCAUAUCAGGUAAGUUCCAGGACAGCCAAGGCUAUACAGAGAAACCCUCAAACAAACAAACAAACAAACAUACAUUUCAAACACUCUAAACAGCAAACAUGGAUAAAAAGCUUUGCUAGAUCUAUCUAUAGAUAGAUAGCUAUAAUAUAUUUAUCAGAAGAUAAAUAUCUAAAAUGAAGAACUCAAAAUACAAAAUGCCAAAUACAAAUAUCGAACAGCUAAUCAAUAAAUAGGUAAAUGAGAUGAAAAGAUUUCAAGAGAUGACAUGAAACUGUCACACAAACACAACACACAGAAAAAAAUGUUCAAUGUCCUUGACCAUGGGGGAACUCCACUCACACCAGUCAGAAUGACUGUCAUAAAAACAAAUCAAAUGCUGGCAAAGACUCGGGUGGGGCUUGACUACGCUGCUCAUGGGAGUGUCUACUAGCAAAGCCACUGUGGAUGCCAAGGUGACCCAGCUAUGCCACCCAACACAGCCCCACAGGACUCUUACGAAAGAACGGGAUGAUUACACUAGUAAGCAAAAUAACGGAAACUAGGAGAGAAAGCGGCAUGCUUCCUCUCAGUUUUGAGUUUAUAGGACAGGAAAGUAGAAGCAAGAUAGACUGAGGGGGAGGAGAAAAUAACAGGGGGAUGUGAAUACAGCACAAUAUAUACUGGAUUGAAAUGGAUGUCUGUAACCUGGCACUAUCUACACACAGUGAGUAUAAUCUAAUCAAUAAAAAAGUCCUUACAGACCAGCAGUUUAAUAUUCUGCACAAAACAGAUCAACUAUCAAAUGUACAAAAGAAAAGGAAGUUACUACAAAUGUGAAGAUUAAAGUGGUAUAUUAUCAUAUGGAUAGCCGUCUAUUUUCUUAAACAUGAAACCUCCACAGUUUGAAGACUCUUUAGGGCCUGAGAGAUGGCUCAGCGCACUCCCUGCCCUUGUAGAGUACCUGGCCAGAUUCCAGUACCCACAUCUCGGUAGCUAACAACUGUUUCUAACCCCAGAUUCAGGGAAACUAACAUCUUCUGAUCUCCCAAACACUUGCACACAGAGACCUAAGCAUAAACAUAAUUAAAAACAAAAAUAAAACGGCCAGAUUUUAGAUAGGAACCACAAACUUAAAAACCAAGUACUCAUGUGGGCUUUCAGUACUUCUAGAUUAAAAUUCUUAGAUACUUCAAAAUUAUCAAGUAACAGUCAAAUGGAUAAAAGCCAGACAUCACCAAUACCUCAUGAACUGGAUACCGGCAGAUGCCUGUGAUUCCAGUACUCGGAAUGUCAAGGCAGGAAGAUCAGAAGCUGACAACUCUCUGAUUACAGAGAAAGUUCAAGGCCAGCCCGAUACACACAUAAUCCUGUCUCAAAAAAGCCAAGAAUUACUACUAAGCUGGAUGUGGUGGCACAUGCCUAUGAGCCAAUGGGAGGCUGAACCAGAGGGAACUUAAAUUCACAGCCAGCCUACAUAGCUGCAGGUCGAUCUGGGCUAGAGAGCAAAGCAAAAGUAGAAACUGGCUUCAUAACAUUGCAAAAACACAACAGUACAAACGAAUUCAAACUGAGAAGAACAGUUUUAAUACUGCAAAACUGAAGCAGCACCAAAGCAAGAGGACUCAGAGCAAACAGAACCAGCCAUAGUAAAAGGGCCAACGGGGGUUGUCCUGAGAACAGCAUGACCUGGAACCCUAGAAGCUUCAAACUGUCUUAACCUACCAUGGUCUCCAUUCCAGUUCCAAAGAGCCUGCCCACCCUUUCCUGAUAAAUGCCCUUUCACCUGAGACCUGACUUACUUCCAAGAGGACAUCAGCCACCUGGUCACCACCAGUCCUUAAAACAAAAAUGACUAAGACUUCAUUUCUUUCUUUUGGUUCUCUGAUUAUCAAGACCUCAGACUAUCCACGUUCGUGUUCUUCAUUUCUGAUGCCCAACUGUUCUGAAACGGCUACUUGGUGUUACUAAGGUUUUCUCUUAAUAAAUGUGCCUAGAGAAAUACA